AGGACGAACGCUGGCGGCGUGCUUAACACAUGCAAGUCGAGCGGUAAGGCCUUUCGGGUACACGAGCGGCGAACGGGUGAGUAACACGUGGGUGAUCUGCCCUGCACUCUGGGAUAAGCCUGGGAAACUGGGUCUAAUACCGGAUAUGACCUGCUCUCGCAUGGGGGUGGGUGGAAAGAUUUAUCGGUGCAGGAUGGGCCCGCGGCCUAUCAGCUUGUUGGUGGGUAAUGGCCUACCAAGGCGACGACGGGUAGCCGACCUGAGACGGGUCGACCGGGCCAACGACGUCGGGAACUAGGAGACACGGCCCAGACUCCUACGGGAGGCAGCAGUGGGAAUAUGCACAAUGGGCGAAAGCCUGAUGCAGCGACGCCGCGUGAGGAGUGUAGGCCGUUCGGUUGUAACCGUACUUUACACGCGACGGACGGAACGACGCCGAAGU
rnacentral:rRNA from 1 species